CUGCCCCUGACUCUGGAAUAAGCGCUGGAAACGGCGUCUAAUACCGGAUAUGACACGCCCUCGCAUGGGGAGCGUGUGGAAAGUUUUUCGGUCUGGGAUGGACUCGCGGCCUAUCAGCUUGUUGGUGAGGUAAUGGCUCACCAAGGCGAUGACGGGUAGCCGGCCUGAGAGGGCGACCGGCCACACUGGGACUGAGACACGGCCCAGACUCCUACGGGAGGCAGCAGUGGGGAAUAUUGCACAAUGGGCGAAAGCCUGAUGCAGCGACGCCGCGUGAGGGAUGACGGCCUUCGGGUUGUAAACCUCUUUCAGCAGGGAAGAAGCGAAAGUGACGGUACCUGCAGAAGAAGCACCGGCUAACUACGUGCCAGCAGCCGCGGUAAUACGUAGGGUGCGAGCGUUGUCCGGAAUUAUUGGGCGUAAAGAGCUUGUAGGCGGUUUGUCGCGUCUGCCGUGAAAAUCCGGGGCUCAACCCCGGACUUGCGGUGGGUACNGGCAGACUAGAGUGUGGUAGGGGAGACUGGAAUUCCUGGUGUAGCGGUGAAAUGCGCAGAUAUCAGGAGGAACACCGAUGGCGAAGGCAGGUCUCUGGGCCACUACUGACGCUGAGAAGCGAAAGCAUGGGGAGCGAACAGGAUUAGAUACCCUGGUAGUCCAUGCCGUAAACGUUGGGCGCUAGGUGUGGGACUCAUUCCACGAGUUCCGUGCCGCAGCUAACGCAUUAAGCGCCCCGCCUGGGGAGUACGGGCCGCAAGGCUAAAACUCAA
rnacentral:rRNA from 1 species